rnacentral:misc_RNA from 1 species
UGUAGGAGCGAGCUCGCUCGCGAUGGAGUGUCAGUAGCCCCUCUUUGUCUGACACACCAUCGCGAGCGAGCUCGCUCCUACA